UAGAAAUGUACAUGUCGCUUAUAAAUUUAACAAUAAUUCUAAUUAUAUCAGUCUCAACACACGUAUACAAAAAUUUAAAUCUUGCUUCAUUAGUCAUAUUUAAAAAAGAGGGAACUAUUUCACUAAUUUUGGAAAACAGUUGGUCUCUAAUUAUAUUUAGUUUUGUACAUUUUAAAGUGAAAUGAAAUUCAUCUUCUACUUCUAAGAAGAACAAAGGACAAAUUCUUUC
rnacentral:lncRNA from 1 species